rnacentral:tRNA from 1 species
GGGAUUUGCCAACACAGGCAAACAUGGCGCUUAUCUGGAGCAAGGGGUCGUGGGUUCAAGUCCCGCACGGCCCA